rnacentral:rRNA from 1 species
CUUAAAGGUAUUGACGGAAGGCACACAAGGAGUGGAGCUUGCGGCUUAAUUUGACUCAACGCGGGGCACCUUACCUGGCCCAGACAUCGCGGGGAUUGACAGAUUGAGAGCUCUUUCAUGAUUCGGUGGGUGGUGGUGCAUGGCCGUUCUUAGUACGUGGUGCAAACUGUCAGGUUAAAUCCGCUAACGUACAUGACUCUAGCCUGUUAACUAGAGCCGGACGAUGAUAAUAAGUCGCCGAAGCAUAGUACUUCUUAGAGGGAUUCCUUUGGCGUGAGAGAAGCGGAUGAAACAGAGCAAUAACAGGUCUGUGAUGCCCUUAGAUGGUCUGGGCCGCACGCGCGCUACACUGACACGGAAAGAAUGGGUAGGCUUCUGGCCGGCCGGGCGCGCGAGCUGCCUAGUAACUAGGAAAACUUAGAAACUUUGUCGUGAUGGGGCUCAGGCCUUGUAAUUGUGGCCUGUCAACGAGGAAUUCCAAGUAAGUGCGAGUCACCAGCUUGCGUUGAUCAAGUCCCUGCCCUUUGUACACACCGCCCGUCGCUACCACUGAGCUAGCGGCUUAGCGAGGAUGUCUAGACGGGUCCUGGUCGCCACGAGCCGCGGUCGCCAAGGGGGUUGGGUAAGACCUUCCCCCGGCCGCGGUGGGCUUCAGGUGGGCCUGGAAGGCAUUCGAACUCGGCUGUUUCUAGGAGGUAAA